CGCGGGCAUUCAGCCUCGCUGCAGCCUCUCCAAGUCCACAACGGUCUGUCUAAUCCACCGCGUGCGUCCACCCUGAGGGAAUGUGAGCUCAUCAUCCGUCAGUUGUACAACACCAACAGUUUACAGUCCCAGCAAAUUGUGCGCUACAAGGAGUUGCUGGAAGAUAUUGUGCUCAACAAGAGAAUCACCCCCGAAAACUACAACCUGACCAAAGCCUUCCUUGCGGAUGAUAUUUGGACCGCCAUUGCCCUCCCGGCGCUCACGCAGGGCCUCAACUCAUCUGUGGCGGAGCGCCAGAGACGGAAUCGCGCCGUGCACAGAAGCCACGUCAAGGGCACGGUGCGAUGAGAUGAUCCAGAUGCUCACCUCUCACCUGCAACUACGGGGACAUGCAAAGUCAGUGUCCGUGUGAUGUCACAGAUCAAACAGCCAAUCAAAAAGCCGUGGAAGAACCGAGAGAAAUGUUUUCGCUGGGUAGAAGCUUGUAAACGGCAGGGAUUUACAGUACCUAAUGUCACCAAAGACACACAUAUAUAUAUAUAUCAUUGUCAAUUAUUCUCAAAGCAUCCCCUGAUCUUAAGCCCCCAAAAGAGCGACGAAAAACUCCCAAAAACCCUACUAAAAAAAUCAUUUUAUUUAAUCGUAUUUAUAUGUUUAUCAUAAAUGUAUCAUUUAUUCAUAUUACCUUACCAUACUACCAUAUAACCCUAACCCUAAAUAUUUCUGACACGUCACCGGUCCGUAGCUUUCCAUUCGCUUGUGAGCUACUCCAUAAAGAAAGUUAAAAGUCCCAAUGAGCAACACACACAUUUGGGUGGGGUAAAAUUUGUCCUCUGCAUUUGACCCAUCCCCAUGUGAUCGAGGCUUCUGUAGCGUAGUGGUUUGUCUUAUGGGCUCUCACUCCAGCGACAUGGGUUUGAGUCUGGGUGCAGCCUAAAAAAUAAAUUUGCAACACAGUUGAUCGUGUAUUUCCCCACUUAACCAUCCACCUCCCUGAAGCUUAGGGUUGGGUUUAGAGCUAAGGUUAAGUUUAGAGCUAGUGUUUGGGUUAGGGUUAGAGCUAGGGUUAGAACUAGAGCUAGCGUUAGGAUUAGAGGGUUAGGGUUAGGAUUAGGGUUAGAGCUAGGUUUAGGGUUUGGGCUAGGGUUAGGGUUAGGGUUAGGGUUAGGGUUAGCAGACCCCGAGCAGGGGUCGGGAACCUUUUUGACUAAGAGAGCCAUGAAAGCAAAAAAUUGGGAAAUUUAUUUCAGUGAGAGCCAUAUAAUAUAUUUUAAAAGUGAAUUCAACUAAAUGUCAGUAUAAUAAGCCUCUUGAAUUUAUUCUUUUAAAUAAUGUUGUUAUAACACUCAUCAUUACAGAACAGUUCUUGCCGACAGAGGCAUGUCUUGUAUCCGUUUCAUUAUCUUGUCUUCAAAGUCCGCUUUAUUGUCAAUCUCUUCACAUGUCAAGACAAAGAAAUCGAAAUGACGUUUUCUCUAUCCCACGGUGACGAGACAUAUUACACGAUAGACAUACAAGUAAACGACACAAUACAAAAACAAGAAGGCACAAACAUUAAAUAAUAAGAAUGUUGAAUAAAUAAUAAAUAAACAGAUAACACAAUAAAUAAGAGGAGCAAAACGGAGCCAGUGUGCAUACAGCAGACAGUAAGCGUAGCGCAAACGUACAGGACGCUUUGUUCGGAAGAUCAUGAAAAAAUUCAUUGGCUACAUCCAGCAUGAACGUUUUAGCAUACUCGCCAAUAUUUUAUUUUAUCUGCGAGCCAUAUGCAAUCAUCAAAAGAGCCACAUCUGGCUCGCGAGCCAUAGGUUCCCGACCCCUGGGUUAGUGCUAGGGUUAGCUCGCCAUUUUCUCGACUCGUACUCGCACUCUUAGGGUUAGCUCUAAGCCUUACCCUAACCCUAGCUCUAACCCUAACCCUAGCCACAGCUCUAACCCUAACACUAGCUCUAAACCUAACCCUAGCUCUUAACCUAACCCUAAGCUUUAGGGAGGUGUGCCGUUUUUUUCCGUGUAUAGUGCGCCCCCGUGUGUAGUACGCACCCCUAAAAAUGGCAUGCUGAUGCUGGAAAAAAGCUUGUACCCAUGUACAAUUUUUUUUUUUAAUUUUUUUUUUUUUUAAGUCCCAAUGAUCGUCACACACGCAGGGAGGCAAUGGGUCCCAUUUUUAGUCUUUGGUAUGGUCUUAACUAGGCUGGAUGUAAUUUUUUUUGUUGGCGUUGAUUUCUCCGACUGCCCGUAAACGCACCACCGCGUCUGAUACGAGAGCAUUGCGGUCGCAUGGAGCGUGUUUGAAGUGAACAGCAGAGAAGAAAGGAACAAGGCAAAGUGUUGUGAAAUAAAAUAUUACCUGUAAUACGGAUUUAGGUAGAGAACUGAACUCUCGCUCUUUAUAUAGCUGACGUGUCUUGCGCAUCCGUUCUGGGCAUCUGUAAUGGCGGCCUCCGUAUGAUAUCCGGUUUGCGGUGACAGAGCCGUCGCUGAAAUUUAGAAGAUAUUUUUAAAGUCCUGAUCUAAAAUUUAAGUGGACCUCAGUGCGCACUGCGCAGGGAGCUUAAUUUGGUGUGGUCGCGCAACCGCAGCGCGCCGGGCGCUCACUGUCGCAUUGCUUAAAGAGCGCCUUUGUGUUUUAGGAUGAACAGCAGAGACCAAAGGAACAAGGCAAAGUGUUGUGAAAUAAAAUAUUACCUGUAAUACGCAUUUUGUUAUUUGCUGAUUGAAACUGCUAAUUAAACUGUGAAUUGAAACUAAUAGGAAGAAAACAACUCUCGCUCUUUAUAUAGCUGAUGUGUCUUGCGCAUCCGUUCUGUGCAUUUUAUUUCACAACACUUUGCCUUUCUUCUCUGCUGUUCACUUCAGACACUCUCGUAUCAGACGCUUGCUCGAUCACCUUGGGGGGCGCGGUGCUAUUCCUGGGGGGGGCGCGUGUGACCCUGGGGAACAGGCUUUUUUUUUGGCAGUACUAGAAGAAAGUGUAAUUGCGCGUUUACUACAGCAGGGGGCAGUGGCGCUCUCAUUGUUACUUCUGUGACGUUUGCGACAGUGCAACAUUUUACGACUUACAAGACAAGUUAGGAUAGUCACGGUGGGGAGGGGGGGCGCGAAUAGUUUUCUUCUUGCUAGGGGGGGGGGCGUAACAGAAAAUAAUUGAGAAGCACUGGUUUACGGGCAGUCGGAGAAAUCAACGCCAACAAAAAAAAUUACAUCCAGCCUAGUUAAGACCAUACCAAAGACUAUAAGAAUGGGACCCAUUGCCUCCCUACGUGUGUGACGAGCAUUGGGACUUAAAAAAAAAAUUAAAAAAUUAAAAAAAUUUUUGUACCCAUGUAUAAUGCGCACCCCAGAUUUGAGGACAAUAAAUUAGUUAAAUUUUGCGCACUAUACACGGAAAAAAACACUAUGGUUAGUUAUAUGGGGCACGAGCCACUAGUGUUGCAAGUUUAUUUUUUCGGCCACACCCAGAUUCAAACCUGUGUCGCUGGGGUGAGAGCCCAGAGGACUAACCACUCCACUACGGAGGCCUCGAUCACAUGGGGAUGGGUCAAAUGCAGGGCAUAAUAAUUUUUUUGGGCCCCACCAAACUUGAAACCCGUGUUGCUGGGGGUGAGAGCCCAGAGGACCAACAACUCCACUAAGGAAGCCUGGCUCUCAAUACCCGGAAUGAAUAUGGUUUGAUGGAGUAACUCACAAGCGAAUGGUCAACCUUUAUUUACGCCAGGGAAAAAUCAUGGCCAAAGCUUAAUUGAAAGUGAAAAGUGCCACACCCGCCCUCACCCCCACUUUCUGUUUGAUCUGUGAUGUCACACGGACACUCCUUUAGGUACGUCGCCAUUUUCAAGCGUACCUAAAAACACGUCAGUUCAUUAGAGAAAAAUGAUGGCCAAAGCUGAACUGAAAGUGAAAAGUGCCACACCCGCCCUCACCUGUUGCUGUAACGUCACACAGUUAACCAAAUGUCCAAUUUUUGCUAUUUAAAAACUACUACAAGUGUUACAAAAUCAAGAUCACCCAAAGAGAAGCAUCAUCUCCCCGUUGUUGCAUCCCUUCAUGUAUAUAAGUUAGCCGUGCAUUAAAGAAGUGUUGUUUCAGUGA